ensembl:lncRNA
CGAUGGAGCCCUGCUGUCUUCUUGGUUGGUGAACUCUGUGCCUCUGCGUCAGUCAACGUGUUUCCAGGUGACGGACAUCUACAGCCGGGAAGUGUUUCUCUUCAGUGUGCUUUUCCUCCCCAAGAAGGAGUCCUUGAGAACGGGGAUAACCUUCACCUGUGGGCUGCGGGACCACCCUGCCAUGACCACUGCUCUGACUGCCUCCUUUACAUGGGAUGCCUCCCCUAACCAGGUGAUUGUAUAUUUGAAUGUUCUCAAGAUGUGUUUCCUCUCCGCAAUGGCCGUUGUGUUUUUACUGGAAGCAGCCAAACAUUUCUGGGUGUGAGGAAAAUGAUGAUGUCUGCCAUGAAACGCAAAAUGAAAUAGGAGAGAAAACAAAAAUGGGCCGGCGGGUAUUCAGCACAGCUCAUCUCAGCAGACCAACCUUUGACAAACAGCUUCAUACAAAUUCAAGUACAGAGUCGUCACAGAAAUAAAGAAGAUUAAUUCUGAGUUAGUUUAAUCCACACUAUAAGUAAAUGUUGCACAUAGGUCCCUCUAUCAUAUGCAAUAAAAGGUUCCCCCAGUUUCUAGGCACAUGCUUGUAUGUGCAUGGUUACAUCUGCUUCUAUGUAUAUUCCUCUUUGCUCUCUCAUCCUCUAAACAUUGAUUUCUUC